rnacentral:rRNA from 1 species
AUUGAACGCUGGCGGAAUGCUUUACACAUGCAAGUCGAACGGCAGCACGGACUUCGGUCUGGUGGCGAGUGGCGAACGGGUGAGUAAUGUAUCGGAACGUGCCCAGUCGUGGGGGAUAACGUAGUGAAAAUUACGCUAAUACCGCAUACGAUCUAUGGAUGAAAGCGGGGGAUCGCAAGACCUCGCGCGAUUGGAGCGGCCGAUAUCAGAUAGGUAGUUGGUGGGGUAAAGGCCCACCAAGCCACCGAUCUGUACCUGGUCUGAGAGGACGACCAGCCACACUGGAACUGAGACACGGUCCAGACUCCUACGGGAGGCAGCAGUGGGGAAUUUUGGACAAUGGGCGAAAGCCUGAUCCAGCCAUUCCGCGUGCAGGAUGAAGGCCCUCGGGUUGUAAACUGCUUUUGUACAGAACGAAAAGGUUUCUACUAAUACUAGGAGCUCAUGACGGUACUGUAAGAAUAAGCACCGGCUAACUACGUGCCAGCCGCCGCGGUAA